UGCAAAGUUGUGUAGUGCGAUCGGUGGAUGCCUUGGCACCAAGAGCCGAUGAAGGACGUUGUGACCUGCGAUAAGCCCUGGGGAGUUGGUGAGCGAGCUGUGAUCCGGGGGUGUCCGAAUGGGGAAACCUGGAAUGUCCGGAGUAGUGUCCGGUGGCCCUGCCCUGAAUGUAUAGGGGUGUGGGUGGUAACGCGGGGAAGUGAAACAUCUUAGUACCCGUAGGAAGAGAAAACAAGUGUGAUUCCGUGAGUAGUGGCGAGCGAAAGCGGAGGAGGCUAAACCGUGUGUGUGUUCAAGCCGGCAGGUGUUGCAUGUGCGGGGUUGUGGGGGCCUUGUGGUUCUGCUGCCGCAGGAUUGGCCAGUGAGAAAUGUUGCGUGAAGGUGAAGCGUCUGGGAAGGCGUACCGGAGUGGGUGAGAGUCCUGUAACUGUAAGCGUGGCACUGGUGUGGGGUUGCCCCGAGUAGCGUGGGACUCGUGGAAUUUCGCGUGAAUCUGGCGGGACCACCCGUCAAGCCUAAAUACUCCUUGGUGACCGAUAGUGGAUGAGUACCGUGAGGGAAGGGUGAAAAGUACCCCGGGAGGGGAGUGAAAGAGUUCCUGAAACCGGUCGCAUGCAAGCCGUCAGAGCCUGUGUGGUGAUGGCGUGCCUUUUGAAGAAUGAGCCUGCGAGUUAGUGAUGCGUGGCGAGGUUAACCCGUGGUGGGGGAGUCGUAGCGAAAGCGAGUCCGAUAAGGGCGUGAGUCGCGUGUUCUAGACCCGAAGCGGUGUGAUCUAUCCAUGGCCAGGAUGAAGCGUCGGUAAGACGUCGUGGAGGUCCGAACCCACUUCAGUUGAAAAUGGAGGGGAUGAGUUGUGGAUAGGGGUGAAAGGCCAAUCAAACACCGUGAUAGCUGGUUCUCCCCGAAAUGCAUUUAGGUGCAGCGUUGCGUGGUUCUUGUUGGAGGUAGAGCACUGGAUGGUCUAGGGGGCUUAUCGGCUUACCGAAAUCAGCCAAACUCCGAAUGCUGGCAAGUGUAGCGUGGCAGUGAGACGGCGGGGGAUAAGCUUCGUCGUCGAGAGGGAAACAGCCCAGAUCAUCAGCUAAGGCCCCUAAGUGGUGACUCAGUGGGAAAGGAUGUGGAGUUGCGUAGACAACCAGGAGGUUGGCUUGGAAGCAGCCAUCCUUGAAAGAGUGCGUAAUAGCUCACUGGUCAAGUGAUUCCGCGCCGAUAAUGUAGCGGGGCUUAAGUUAUCCGCCGAAGCUGUGGCAACCUGUGUGGUUGGGUAGGGGAGCGUCGUGUCAGUGGUGAAGCUGCCGGGUGACUGUGUGGUGGAGUUGAUGCGAGUGAGAAUGCAGGCAUGAGUAGCGUGUGACGGGUGGGAAUC
rnacentral:rRNA from 1 species